GUCUUAGCUUGCUAAGGCUGAUGGCGACCGGCGCACGGGUGAGUAACACGUAUCCAACCUGCCGUCUACUCUUGGCCAGCCUUCUGAAAGGAAGAUUAAUCCAGGAUGGCAUCAUGAGUUCACAUGUCCGCAUGAUUAAAGGUAUUUUCCGGUAGACGAUGGGGAUGCGUUCCAUUAGAUAGUAGGCGGGGUAACGGCCCACCUAGUCAACGAUGGAUAGGGGUUCUGAGAGGAAGGUCCCCCACAUUGGAACUGAGACACGGUCCAAACUCCUACGGGAGGCAGCAGUGAGGAAUAUUGGUCAAUGGGCGAUGGCCUGAACCAGCCAAGUAGCGUGAAGGAUGACUGCCCUAUGGGUUGUAAACUUCUUUUAUAAAGGAAUAAAGUCGGGUAUGCAUACCCGUUUGCAUGUACUUUAUGAAUAAGGAUCGGCUAACUCCGUGCCAGCAGCCGCGGUAAUACGGAGGAUCCGAGCGUUAUCCGGAUUUAUUGGGUUUAAAGGGAGCGUAGAUGGAUGUUUAAGUCAGUUGUGAAAGUUUGCGGCUCAACCGUAAAAUUGCAGUUGAUACUGGAUAUCUUGAGUGCAGUUGAGGCAGGCGGAAUUCGUGGUGUAGCGGUGAAAUGCUUAGAUAUCACGAAGAACUCCGAUUGCGAAG
rnacentral:rRNA from 1 species